rnacentral:rRNA from 1 species
UACAUGGGGUGCAAACGUUGCUCGGAAUUAUUGGGCGUAAAGCGCACGUAGGCGGUCCGUUAAGUCAGAUGUGAAAGCCCCCGGCUCAACCGGGGAACUGCGUCUGAUACUGGCAGGCUUGAAUCCGGGAGAGGGAUGUGGAAUUCCAGGUGUAGCGGUGAAAUGCGUAGAUAUCUGGAGGAACACCGGUGGCGAAGGCGGCAUCCUGGACCGGUAUUGACGCUGAGGCGCGAAAGCCAGGGGAGCAAACGGG